UGUUGGUGAAAUACCCUGCCGCUUCCGGUUAGUUUUGCAGGUUUGCAUUUCAGCGUACUUGUGCAUAUAGGGCUGUGCAAAUCCAUGCAAAACUGACCGUGAUCAUGUGUGUGCCGUCGGUGGCUC
rnacentral:pre_miRNA from 12 species